rnacentral:rRNA from 1 species
GAUGAACGCUGGCGGCGUGCCUAAUACAUGCAAGUCGAGCGAACGGACGAGAAGCUUGCUUCUCUGAUGUUAGCGGCGGACGGGUGAGUAACACGUGGAUAACCUACCUAUAAGACUGGGAUAACUUCGGGAAACCGGAGCUAAUACCGGAUAAUAUUUUGAACCGCAUGGUUCAAAAGUGAAAGACGGUCUUGCUGUCACUUAUAGAUGGAUCCGCGCUGCAUUAGCUAGUUGGUAAGGUAACGGCUUACCAAGGCAACGAUGCAUAGCCGACCUGAGAGGGUGAUCGGCCACACUGGAACAGAGACACGGUCCAGACUCCUACGGGAGGCAGCAGUAGGGAAUCUUCCGCAAUGGGCGAAAGCCUGACGGAGCAACGUCGCGUGAGUGAUGAAGGUCUUCGGAUCGUAAAACUCUGUUAUUAGGGAAGAACAUAUGUGUAAGUAACUGUGCACAUCUUGACGGUACCUAAUCAGAAAGCCACGGCUAACUACGUG